rfam:Danaus plexippus plexippus isolate F-2 unplaced genomic scaffold DPSCF300012, whole genome shotgun sequence.
GAGAAAUGAUGAUUUCAAAUUACACCAUCUUUCGACUGAAUGUCAGUGAUGUUAUAAUUUUUACUGAUAUUAAAU